rnacentral:rRNA from 1 species
GACGAACGCUGGCGGCGUGCUUAACACAUGCAAGUCGAACGAAGUGGCGAACGGGUGAGUAACGCGUAAUCAACCUGCCCUUCAGAGGGGGACAACAGUUGGACACGACUGCUAAUACCGCAUACUGAAGGAGGGGAUUGCGUCGGAUUAGCUAGUGGGAGGGGUAACGGCCCACCAAGGCGAGGAUCAGUAGCCGGUCUGAGAGGAUGAACGGGCAGAUUGGGGAGUGGACACGGCCCAGACUCCUACGGGAGGAAGCAGUGGGGAAGCUGCCGCAAUGGGCGAAAGUCUGACGGAGCAACGCCGCGUGAGUGAUGACGGCCUUCGGGUUGUAAAGCUCUGUUAAUCGGGACGCGGUACCGGAAUAGAAAGCCACGGCUAACUACGUGCCAGCCGCCGCGGUAAUAC